rnacentral:rRNA from 1 species
UACGGGGGGGGCAAGCGUUGUUCGGAAUUACUGGGCGUAAAGGGCUCGUAGGUGGCCAACUAAGUCAGACGUGAAAUCCCUCGGCUUAACCGGGGAACUGCGUCUGAUACUGGAUGGCUUGAGUUCGGGAGAGGGAUGCGGAAUUCCAGGUGUAGCGGUGAAAUGCGUAGAUAUCAGGAGGAACACCAAUGGCGAAGGCAGCUCGCUGGGACGUUACUGACGCUGAGACGCGAAAGCGUGGGGAGCAAACAGG